GGCGGACGUAGCCAAGUGGAUUAAGGCAGUGA
rnacentral:tRNA from 1 species